GAUGAACGCUGGCGGCGUGCCUAAUACAUGCAAGUCGAGCGAACAGACGAGGAGCUUGCUCCUCUGACGUUAGCGGCGGACGGGUGAGUAACACGUGGAUAACCUACCUAUAAGACUGGGAUAACUUCGGGAAACCGGAGCUAAUACCGGAUAAUAUAUUGAACCGCAUGGUUCAAUAGUGAAAGACGGUUUUGCUGUCACUUAUAGAUGGAUCCGCGCCGCAUUAGCUAGUUGGUAAGGUAACGGCUUACCAAGGCAACGAUGCGUAGCCGACCUGAGAGGGUGAUCGGCCACACUGGAACUGAGACACGGUCCAGACUCCUACGGGAGGCAGCAGUAGGGAAUCUUCCGCACUGGGCGAAAGCUUGACGGAGCAACGCCGCGUGAGUGAUGAAGGUCUUCGGAUCGUAAAACUCUGUUAUUAGGGAAGAACAAAUGUGUAAGUAACUAUGCACGUCUUGACGGUACCUAAUCAGAAAGCCACGGCUAACUACGUG
rnacentral:rRNA from 1 species